CUCCUUCAGCUCCUGCUGUUCAGAGAGGUCUCUUCUCGCACUGCCAGAGCAACCAAGAUUUUAAUUUGACCGUGGUUAAAUGACCCAUUUGGACCAGGCCAGCCAGGCAGGAUGGGAGAGCGCCAUGGGGGUUCUGAAAGUACCCUCAAGAACCCUGGGAAGUGCCCCCCCCCCCCACAUCUGAGGCCACCUUUGACCUUCCAAAUGAUGAAGACUUAUUGCUGAGCUGCAUCUUGAGAGGCACAGACAGAAGA